GGCUACAGCCAUGCUACCCUGAACAAGCCCGAUCCCGUCUGAUAUCGGAAGCUCAGUCGAGUUGGACCUGAUUAAUACUUGGAUGGGAGAUCACCUAGAAAGGCCAGGUGCUGAAGGUG
rnacentral:rRNA from 1 species